rnacentral:rRNA from 1 species
UUUGAAAUCUGACCCUCGGGUCCGAGUUGUAAUCUGCAGAUGAGUCUUUUGGUGGAGCGCCGUCCAAGUUCCCUGGAAUGGGACGCCGGAGAGGGUGAGAGCCCCGUACCGACGUGCGCCGAGCCUCUGCAAAGCUCAUUCGACGAGUCGAGUAGUUUGGAAAUGCUGCUCUAAUCGUGGGGUAAAUCUCCCAUAAGGCUAAAUACUGGCCAGAGACCGAUAGCGCACAAGUAGCGUGAGCGAAAGAUGAAAAGAGCCUUGAAUAAGGGCGUCAAAAAGCAUGUGAAAUUGUUGUGGGGGAAGCGCUCAACGCCAGACGUGGCGGCGGUUGGUUACCCGGCGUUCUUCGCCGGCGCACUCGGCCGUCGCCAGGCCAGCAUCAGUUCGGCCUGGGGCUUACUGCCGUGGGGAAUGUGGCCCUUCGGGGUGUUAUAGCCUCGCGGAGACGUCCUGGGCCGGACUGAGGAACGCGCAUCUGCCCGGAUGCUGGCGUAAUGGCUUUUAGCGACCCGUCUUGAAACACGGACCAAGGAGUUGACCUAGCCCGCGAGUGUUUGGGUGUCAAGCCCUCACGCGCAGUGAAAGCGAACGCUGGUGGGAGCCUUUUCGGCGCACCAUCGACCGAUCCUGAAGUUCACGGAUGGAUUUGAGUAGGAGCGUGCUGGGUCUGACCCGAAAGAAGGUGAACUAUGCAUGAAUAGGGUGAAGCCAGAGGAAACUCUGGUGGAGGCUCGCAGCGGUUCUGACGUGCAAAUCGAUCGUCAAAUUUGUGCAUGGGGGCGAAAGACCAAUCGAACCUUCUAGUAGCUGGUUCCUGCCGAAGUUUCCCUCAGGAUAGCAGAGUUGAUCCCUCAGUUUCAUGAGGUAAAGCGAAUGAUUAGAGACUCGGGGGCGCUCUUCAGCCUUCAUCUAUUCUCAAACUUUAAAUAUGUGAGAAGCCUCGUGUUACUUCGGUGAACGCAGGCCUUUGAAUGUAUCAACUCUAGUGGGCCAUUUUUGGUAAGCAGAACUGGCGAUGUGGGAUGAACCAUACGGGGGUUUAAGGUGCCGGAGUGGACGCUCAUCAGACACCACAAAAGGUGUUAGCACAUCUUGACAGCAGGACGGUGGCCAUGGAAGUCGGAAUCCGCUAAGGACUGUGUAACAACUCACCUGCCGAAUGUGCUAGCCCUGAAAAUGGAUGGCGCUAAGCGUCCCACCUAUAACCCCCCCUCGGGGCAGGAUCGUCGCCCCGAGGAGUAGGCAGGCGC